rnacentral:rRNA from 1 species
AGUCGAGCGAUGAAGUUUCUUCGGAAAUGGAUUAGCGGCGAACGGGUGAGGAACACGUGAAGAAUCUGCCCUCCACUUUGGGAUAACACCGGGAAACCGGUGCUAAUACCGAAUAUUGAAACAUAAGUGGCAUCACUGAGUUUUGAAAGAAUUUCGGUGGAGGAUGACUUCGCGGCCUAUCAGCUAGUUGGUGAGGUAAUGGCUCACCAAGGCAACGACGGGUAGCCGGCCUGAGAGGGCGACCGGCCACACUGGGACUGAGACACGGCCCAGACUCCUACGGGAGGCAGCAGUGGGGAAUAUUGGGCAAUGGAGGAAACUCUGACCCAGCGACGCCGCGUGCGGGAUGAAGGCCUUCGGGUUGUAAACCGCUUUCAGUAGGGAAGAAGCGAAAGUGACGGUACCUACAAAAGAAGCACCGGCUAACUAUGUGCCAGCAGCCGCGGUAAUACAUAGGGUGCAAGCGUUGUCCGGAAUUAUUGGGCGUAAAGAGCUCGUAGGUCGUUUGUUACGUCGGAUGUGAAAACCUGAGGCUCAACCUCAGGCCUGCAUUCGAUACGGGCAAACUAGAGUUUGGUAGGGGAGACUGGAAUUCCUGGUGUAGCGGUGGAAUGCGCAGAUAUCAGGAGGAACACCAAUGGCGAAGGCAGGUCUCUGGGCCAAUACUGACACUGAGGAGCGAAAGUCUGGGGAGCGAACAGGAUUAGAUACCCUGGUAGUCCAGACCGUAAACGGUGGGCACUAGUUGUGGGAACCUUCCACGGUUUCUGCGACGCAGCUAACGCAUUAAGUGCCCCGCCUGGGGAGUA